rnacentral:rRNA from 1 species
GCAGUCGCCACGGGAAUACAGAGGGUGCAAGCGUUAAUCGGAAUUACUGGGCGUAAAGCGCGCGUAGGUGGUUUGUUAAGUUGGAUGUGAAAUCCCCGGGCUCAACCUGGGAACUGCAUCCAAAACUGGCAAGCUAGAGUAUGGUAGAGGGUGGUGGAAUUUCCUGUGUAGCGGUGAAAUGCGUAGAUAUCGGAAGGAACACCUGUGGCGAAAGCGGCUCACUGGACCAUUUCUGACGCUGAUGCACGAAAGCUAGGGGAGCAAACAGGAUUAGAUACCCCCGUAGUCCCUGUCUCUUAUAC